rnacentral:rRNA from 1 species
UACGAAGGGGGCUAGCGUUGCUCGGAAUCACUGGGCGUAAAGGGUGCGUAGGCGGGUUUUUAAGUCAGGGGUGAAAUCCUGGAGCUCAACUCCAGAACUGCCUUUGAUACUGAAGAUCUUGAGUCCGGGAGAGGUGAGUGGAACUGCGAGUGUAGAGGUGAAAUUCGUAGAUAUUCGCAAGAACACCAGUGGCGAAGGCGGCUCACUGGCCCGGUACUGACGCUCAUGCACGAAAGCGUGGGGAGCAAACAGG